rnacentral:rRNA from 1 species
UACGUAGGGUGCGAGCGUUAAUCGGAAUUACUGGGCGUAAAGCGUGCGCAGGCGGUCGUGCAAGACAGAUGUGAAAUCCCCGGGCUCAACCUGGGAACUGCAUUUGUGACUGCACGGCUGGAGUGCGGCAGAGGGGGAUGGAAUUCCGCGUGUAGCAGUGAAAUGCGUAGAUAUGCGGAGGAACACCGAUGGCGAAGGCAAUCCCCUGGGCCUGCACUGACGCUCAGGCGCGAAAGCCAGGGGAGCAAACGGG